rnacentral:tRNA from 1 species
GGUGGCUCAGUGGUAGAGUACUUGCCUUGCAAGCAUGAGGCCCUGGGUUCAAUUCCUCAGCACCA